GUGACGUGCGUUGAGGUUUAUGGCUGGUGAGGCACUGACUUUUCUUGAGUCAGAUUUACAAUUGUAAGAACUGAAAAGAGCAUCUAAUUUCACUAUUCAUCCAACAGCAUGCAACUGGUAAUGCUUCAUAACCCAAUGCAGCUGGAAAGCACCUGUCAGUUCACGUCCGCCCCCUGGAGGUGAGGCAGAGUACUGCCUGCCUCACCUGCUGACUUUUCUCUGCACUUUAUUGUACGAUCAGCAGAAACAAUUCUCUCACACGAACA